CGGCUACCACAUCCAAGGAAGGCAGCAGGCACGCAAAUUACCCACUCCCGGCACGGGGAGGUAGUGACAAAAAAUAACGAUACGGGACUCAUCCGAGGCCCCGUAAUCGGAAUGAGAACACCCUAAAUCCUUUAACGAGGAUCUAUUGGAGGGCAAGUCUGGUGCCAGCAGCCGCGGUAAUUCCAGCUCCAAUAGCGUAUAUUAAAGUUGUUGCGGUUAAAAAGCUCGUAGUUGGUUCUGCGUGCCACGCUGUCGGUUCACCGCCUGUCGGUGCAACUGGCAUGCCGUGGCAUGUCCUGUCGGUGGCCGACAGGCUUCGCGGCGCGCCCUACGCGCUCACGCGUGUAGGUAGUUGCGCCGCGUCGUCCUCGAGGCCGACUCAAUCCUACCGCGGUGCUCUUAAACGAGUGUCGAGGUAGGCCGACACUGUUUACUUUGAACAAAUUAGAGUGCUUCAAGCAGGCUUUUAAAGCAGCCUGAAUAGUGGUGCAUGGAAUAAUGGAACAGGACCUUGGUUCUAUUUUGUUGGUUUUCGGAAUCCAAGGUAAUGAUCAAUAAGGACAGGCGGGGGCAUUCGUAUUGCGACGUUAGACUUGGCAAAUGCUUUCGCGGUGAAAUUCUUGGAUCGUCGCAAGACGCACUAGAGCGAAAGCAUUUGCCAAGUAUGUCUUAAUUGAUCAAGAACGAAAGUUAGAGGUUCGAAGCGAUCAGAUACCGCCCUAGUUCUAACCAUAAACGAUGCCAGCCAGCGAUCCGCCGAUGUUCCUCCGAUGACUCGGCGGGGAGCUUUCCCCGGGAAACCAAAGCUUUUGGGUUCCGGGGGAAGUAUGGUUGCAAAGCUGAAACUUAAAGGAAUUGACGGAAGGGCACCACCAGGAGUGGAGCCUGCGGCUUAAUUUGACUCAACACGGGAAACCUCACCAGGCCCGGACAUUGGAAGGAUUGACAGAUCGAUAGCUCUUUCUCGAUUCAGUGGGUAGUGGUGCAUGGCCGUUCUUAGUUGGUGGACUGAUUUGUCUGGUUAAUUCCGAUAACGAACGAGACUCUGACCUAUUAACUAGGCGUCCCGGUAUAUAUAUACUACCGGCGAGAUCUAUUCUUCUU
rnacentral:rRNA from 1 species